AUUGAACGCUGGCGGCAGGCCUAACACAUGCAAGUCGAGCGGAUGAAGGGAGCUUGCUCCUUGAUUCAGCGGCGGACUGGUGAGUAAUGCCUAGGAAUCUGCCUGGUAGUGGUUUAUAACGUCCGGACACGGGCGCUAAUACCGCAUACGUCCUUAGGGCGAACGUGUGGGAUCUUCGGACCUCACGCUCUCAGAUGAUCCUAGGUCGGAUUAGCUAGUUGGUGGGUUAAAGGCCUACCAAGCCGACGAUCCGUAGCUGGUCUGUGAGAAUGAUCAGACACACUGGAAAUGAGAGACGGGCCAGACUCCUACGGGAGGGAGAAGUGGGGAAUAUUGGACAAUGGGCGAAAGAGUGAGACAGACAUGCCGCGUGUGUGAAGAAGGUCUUCGGAGUGUAAAGCACUUUAAGGUGGGAGGAAGGGAAGUAAGUGAAUAUCUUGCUGUGUUGACGUGACAAACAGAAUAAGAACAGGCUAACUUCGUG
rnacentral:rRNA from 1 species